CCUACGGGAGGCAGCAGUGAGGAAUAUUGGUCAAUGGACGAGAGUCUGAACCAGCCAAGUAGCGUGAAGGAUGACUGCCCUAUGGGUUGUAAACUUCUUUUAUAUGGGAAUAAAAUGUUCCACGUGUGGGAUUUUGUAUGUACCAUAUGAAUAAGGAUCGGCUAACCCCGUGCCAGCAGCCGCGGUAAUACGGAGGAUCCGAGCGUUAUCCGGAUUUAUUGGGUUUAAAGGGAGCGUAGGUGGAUUGUUAAGUCAGUUGUGAAAGUUUGCGGCUCAACCGUAAAAUUGCAGUUGAUACUGGCAGUCUUGAGUACAGUAGAGGUGGGCGGAAUUCGUGGUGUAGCGGUGAAAUGCUUAGAUAUCACGAAGAACACCGAUUGCGAAGGCAGUUCACUGGACUGCAACUGACACUGAGGCUCGAAAGUGUGGGUAUCAAACAGGAUUAGAUACCCCAGUAGUC
rnacentral:rRNA from 1 species